CUCCGCCAGGGCCGCCUGCAGCUCUGCCUGCGUCGCGUUGCCUAAGAAGGGGUCGGAGGUUUACGUCACUUAGCAUCGCGGUCUCAAGAUGCCUUCCAGAAACAGUGUUUGGUGGGACCUGAACUCAGUCCUUGUUGGUCAGAAGGGAAACAGGCAAUGGUUGAGGUGGCUAACUGAGCCACUGGAUUCCACUACUGGAUGGUGGGUAGAUGGGAUCAGAACUGGAAGAGUCCUACCAAAUCAAAGAAAGAAGAUUCAAAAAAAAUGGCUGCUGUGCACUGGGGUGCUGGAGGAUCAUGUGGCAGCUGAAGGUCAAU